AAGAUUUUCAGUGAAAGUGUUAACUAUAUUUAAAGAUGUGUUUAUUAAACUCACAUGACUUGUUCUCAGGAUAGGUUUCUCCUAGAAAUACCUAGGAGGAUUAUUUCCAAAGGUUUCCCUUUGGUUGUCUCACUGGCAAAACCACCUUCAACUUCCAACAUUGGGCUGAUCAGUCACUGCAGCCCCUCAGAUGCCAGAGAAGUGGGAGAAGGAGCCGCUGACUCUUUCUCCUCACCCACUGCAGUAAAUGGGUCCCAGCAGCUGUCUGACAUCUGUAAAAAGCUGCUUCCCACCACUGCCCUGGUGUCAAAGUCCAGAAAAACACAGCACAAAUCUUAGAAAUUCAGCUAGGGCCAGAAGCUGAGUGCUGCUGUUGGGUUUGGUUGAAGGUGCUGGGGUGGAACAUUCACAGAGCUCCCUUUGGUGCAUCAGACAGAGCCUGGCUGCGGCUCAGUGCUGGUUGCUGCAGCUAUAAAAGCCACAAUUCUCAUCCUGCCUUCAGGAAACAGCUGAUUGAAAAAACCAGCAAACAUGGCAAAAUCCCAAAGGUGUGAUCUGACACAGAGCCAGCGAAGACCCACCCACCCAGCAAACCAGAUUUUUUACAGUUCUUUCUUGAAGCGUACUCUCUUUUUGCCAUGCAGUUUCCUGUUUUCCUUGGAGGUAUCCUUGUUAUUAAAAAUGUCCUGUGAUUAAUGAAGCUGCUGGAGUAGACCCCACAGAACCUCUCCAGUCCUGAUGAAAAUAUUUGCUGUAGGGUAUUUCUGGAUGUUGAAGAUGAAAUCCAGGCCCCACAUAAGGCUGGAAGAGUUACUACGGGUUUCAAUGGGGUCAUCAUUUGACUCCAAAAGGCUGUUUUUUAGAACAUAAUUGACUUAUAUCAAUAAGGGUUCUCAAUAUUACUCCAUUUCCCACCCCAAAUUUUCAUAUCUAGUGACCUUUUCCUUAUUCAUAUCACCAAAUUCUCUGUAAUUCUCUCACACUUUAUUGAUUUCUUUCUUACAGCACCAAUUUAGGGCCAUGUUUCCAUGCAGGGCCCCACAGCUCAUUAUUUCCCUGUGGGCAGCUCUCACACACUGCCACACCAGCCAGUGGCACCAGGCUGCUGCCAGCUCAAGUUUUAAAAUUCACUCUGACAAAAAAAUGCUGCAGUGAUCAAAAUAAAAUGAAAAAAGUCUUCCAAGUCUGGAGCAUGUGCAUUUGAUAAUUAAU